AAGGCGCGCAGCCGCCAGCGGGGCUCGCGGGGCAGCCAGGGGCACACGCCCAUGCGUGCAUGUAUUCAUACGCGGACACGCACGCAGGUGUGCGCAUUGAUGGGCGCACACACGUACGUAUACAGGAUUCACAUACAUGCUUACACUCUGCCACAGUCGCUUUGGGCUUCCCUGGAUCAUUUUUAACUCAAGAUGCCCAUCUCAGCUGAACUUCAAAAAAUCCAGGAAAGCACAUCACCUGUUUACAGGGAGCAGGGAUGCAGAACCAAGUGAUAUGGGAGCAACUGUGCAAUUCCAGCUGAUGCCAUUGCAGACGCUGAAGGGCAACAGUUGAUAACGUAGCAAACACUAAAGGAAGUACAUGAGAGAAUUCCCUCUUCUAUUUUAGGCACCUACAGUGUGAGACAGAAGAAAUCGAUUCCCAAGCUGCCAGAGACCUGAGUUUGUCAAGCCACAAACUGUCCUUCCCCAUAUGGAUUUGUGGGCUUAGCUCUGGAAGCCAUAAACCUAUAUUAGUACAGAGCAAAGCCAAGUAAUUUUGGAGCAAACCUCAGGUUCAGCUCCAGGUUAAUGCAGUGAUCUGGUGUCUCUGAGCCAGCUCUCAUCCACACCACGCUCCCAUCCUUCCUGUCCUAUGAUCCUGGUGGGUGGAAUGGGUCCAGGUUUGUGUGUGCCUGCCCAUAACAACCCAGGAUUGCCUGGAGCUACUUCGGGAUUACGUACAAGCACGGUGAGUGGGGAGUCUGCUGAGCUAAUUGGGGUCCCAAUCUUAUCCAAGCCCUGGGGGAUUCUCAGAAUAGACCAUAGUUCCUGCAAACCAACUCACUCCAGCCUCUGAGUCUUCCCACACCACAUCUGCCGCAUCAGUUCUCAUGCAAAAAAAGAGCUAGGAAAGGGCAAGAAUGGACUCACACAAGUACCCUCUUGCACCCGUGAGCAGUCGGGGCAUUUCUCUAUUUUAAAAUCUGUGUUCUGCUUCAUUUGCUUAAUCAAAAUCCUUGUGCUUACUGAUUUUAUUGGUGAGAACCAAUGGUAGGUCGUGGGAUAAAUUCUCCCUCAAUCAUGGUCAUGGGUGAGGGAGGAAAGGAGAGAGGGAGGUGAGUACAAGGAGGUGAGUCUGUCUCUGCUUUUCGCUUUGCAGUACGAACCCCAGCUCCGUGCAAACCAGUUUUGAACCUUUCUUCCAAUAAAGAUUUCACUUUUUGUGCUAAGUGGUAUGUCAAUAAGAGAAUGACUCAAAACUAAAUAGAUUAGAAGAAAGACCACUUGCUUAUUUGCUAAACAGGAUUGACAGAAGUCCUUUUUCCUCCCUGUUUUUUCAUGGGAAAAGGCUGACCUUGGUUCUAUGUAUAACUCCAGGAGAAAUAUCUUGGCUGCGAAUACUGAACGGAGUGGGGGGGUUCAAGUACUUUUGGGGAUAAGGAUCAGGCAGUGUGUGUCUAGUUGGUAUUUCCUUUUGGGUGUCAUGAGCAACUCUUUGUUUGCUAAUUUCUGAAAUUGCUGUUCUUCCCUAACUUUGGGCUAUGGUUGGCCCUGGCUGACAGAUAUCCUGAAAAUUUAGCAUGGCAACCCCAAACUGUCUUUGGAGUUUUAGACUACACAGAGCUUGGUGAAAUAUUUUUUUUACCUGACUGCCCAGUGAAAAGCCUGUUUGUCAAUCAGUCUGUCAUUUGGUUGUUGGGUGGGGAAGGAAAUCCAAAAAUAGUACUGGAGAGGAGUGGACUAUUAUCCAUGCUUGUAGGUGGCUGGUCAAAAUACAUGUGCCUUUUGGCCAUGUAUGGAUCCAAAAUAGCAUAACACACAUUGUCUCUUGCUGUGGUGUCGAAUGAAAGAAGAGAGGAAUUUGAGAUGUUUAAGAGAAAAAAAAAAAAUCUAUCUGCUGAAAACCUGACUUCAGAUAAUAACUUCUUGAAAUACCUGUGGCUUUUUUAGUGAGGUAAAUAAAUUAUGAUUUUUUAGACCAAAAUAACUCCCUUAGACUUAAGGUCUUCUGACAUAUGGACCCACAGGUCCAUACACUCCACUGGUGCUGUGACUCCCAGUUUUCACAGCCAUGUCCCUGAGCCCAACAAGUUACUGUGGAGCCUGCACUGGACUGGUGGGACUGCUAGCUUGGUCACUGGCUGUAGUUCAGGUGUAUUAUGCUUGUUCCUCACCUCUGAAUCCCACAUCACUGGUUAGAAACUGUAGCUCUGGGUAAUCCCUGGCAGCUCACUGAACCUCUGUGCCUCAGCCUGCCUGCAUUGGUAAAUGGAAACAUCAGUAAUGGAUAAACAUAAUGAUAUGUUCUGUCAUAGCUUAAAGAUGUUCUGCUUUAUACGGGUAAGCAAUGCUUUCUUUCUAUCCCUGGUUUAUAGACAUGGUUGCUGACAGAGAAUUGGGUAAGUGACUCAGCGUGGAGCUCACCAAAUU